rnacentral:rRNA from 1 species
AUUGAACGCUGGCGGCAUGCUUUACACAUGCAAGUCGAACGGUAACAGGGAGCUUGCUCCGCUGACGAGUGGCGAACGGGUGAGUAAUGCGUCGGAACGUGCCGAGUAGUGGGGGAUAACGCAUCGAAAGGUGUGCUAAUACCGCAUACGUACUGAGGUAGAAAGUGGGGGACCUUCGGGCCUCACGCUAUUCGAGCGGCCGACGUCCGAUUAGCUAGUUGGUGAGGUAAAGGCUCACCAAGGCGACGAUCAGUAGCGGGUCUGAGAGGAUGAUCCGCCACACUGGGACUGAGACACGGCCCAGACUCCUACGGGAGGCAGCAGUGGGGAAUUUUGGACAAUGGGCGCAAGCCUGAUCCAGCCAUGCCGCGUGCGGGAAGAAGGCCUUCGGGUUGUAAACCGCUUUUGUCAGGGAAGAAAAGGUUCUGGCUAAUACCUGGGACUCAUGACGGUACCUGAAGAAUAAGCACCGGCUAACUACGUGCCAGCAGCCGCCGUAACAC